CGUUGGGCGAUAGAUUGAUGGUCACGGCGUGUUUGAGAACUUGGCCGUCGUUGCACUGCGACAGUGCAUUUGUAACUAAUCUGUCUUACAAUAUUCAAGUGAGAGAAAAACAUUCAAAAACAUGUGCGCCCGUAAUCUGCACAUUAAAUUGAAAACCGUUGAUUUUCGAUAGUGUCCAAAAUAAUAACUGCGCCACCCUUUAGUUGAACGACUCGUUGACGAAAUGUAAGAUGUAAAAGGUGCCUUCUGUGCUGUGGGUAAAUUCCCGAAGACAAUUCAAGAAUACCGACAUUAUCAACCGCGAUACCACAUCUGAUCUUUUUAAGAGUCGUCAGGAGAGAUUAUGGAGAUCUCUCUAUCUUAGAUGAACUCUUGUUCAUCCACAUUGUGGCUAAAUAUAUUGAGAGAUUUGUAAUGUAAUUGCGACAUUUAUAAUUCAGGAGAAUUAUUUGCAGUUCUCUAUAGGGUAAUUUUUUUAAAAAAGCAAGAAUAAAUAAUUAGCUUAAUAUGUAACUAGAUUUGCACUGCAGAGUGCAAUAAAGUGCAGAUACUUUUAGGUAUUGUAAAUAUUUAAAAAUCAAACUACAAAAUCCGACUCUGUAGCAACUUUCGUAGUUUUGUACAACAAAGACAAAAAAGUUUCUUAUCAAAAAUAUUACUUCUGUAAGAUGAAA